AGCGAACGCUGGCGGCAGGCUUAACACAUGCAAGUCGAGCGGAUGUAGCAAUACAUCAGCGGCAGACGGGUGAGUAACACGUGGGAACGUACCUUUUGGUUCGGGACAACCCAGGGAAACUUGGGCUAAUACCGGAUAAGCCCUUACGGGGAAAGAUUUAUCGCCGAAAGAUCGGCCCGCGUCUGAUUAGCUAGUUGGUGAGGUAAUGGCUCACCAAGGCGACGAUCAGUAGCUGGUCUGAGAGGAUGAUCAGCCACAUUGGGACUGAGACACGGCCCAAACUCCUACGGGAGGCAGCAGUGGGGAAUAUUGGACAAUGGGCGCAAGCCUGAUCCAGCCAUGCCGCGUGAGUGAUGAAGGCCCUAGGGUUGUAAAGCUCUUUUGUGCGGGAAGAUAAUGACUGUACCGGGAGAAUAAGCCCCGGCUAACUCCGUGCCAGCAGCCGCGGUAAU
rnacentral:rRNA from 1 species